ACGGAAGGCAGCAGUGAGGAAUAUUGGUCAAUGGGCGGAAGCCUGAACCAGCCAAGUCGCGUGAAGGAUGAAGGUAUUAUGUAUUGUAAACUUCUUUAGCAGUGGAGUAAUAAGGGAGUCGUGACUCCUGAUGCAAGUACACUGAGAAUAAGGAUCGGCUAACUCCGUGCCAGCAGCCGCGGUAAUACGGAGGAUCCGAGCGUUAUCCGGAUUUAUUGGGUUUAAAGGGUGCGCAGGCGGCCUUGUAAGUCAGCGGUUAAAUCGUGGAGCUCAACUCCAUCCCGCCGUUGAUACUGCAGGGCUUGAUUGCGGUUGAGGUUGGCGGAAUUCGUCGUGUAGCGGUGAAAUGCAUAGAUAUGACGAAGAACCCCGAUUGCGUAGGCAGCUGACCAAGCCGUAAAUGACGCUCAUGCACGAAAGUGCGGGGAUCGAACAGGAUUAGAUACCCUGGUA
rnacentral:rRNA from 1 species